rnacentral:rRNA from 1 species
UACGAAGGGGGCUAGCGUUGUUCGGAUUUACUGGGCGUAAAGCGCACGUAGGCGGUUUGUUAAGUCAGGGGUGAAAUCCCGGAGCUCAACUCCGGAACUGCCUUUGAUACUGGCAAGCUAGAGUCCGGAAGAGGUAAGUGGAACUCCUAGUGUAGAGGUGGAAUUCGUAGAUAUUAGGAAGAACACCAGUGGCGAAGGCGGCCUGCUGGGCAGUAACUGACACUGAGGCGCGACAGCGUGGGGAGCAAACAGG